rnacentral:rRNA from 1 species
GACGAACGCUGGCGGCGUGCCUAAUACAUGCAAGUAGAACGCUGAAGGAGGAGCUUGCUCUUCUGGAUGAGUUGCGAACGGGUGAGUAACGCGUAGGUAACCUGCCUGGUAGCGGGGGAUAACUAUUGGAAACGAUAGCUAAUACCGCAUAAGAGUAGAUGUUGCAUGACAUUUACUUAAAAGGUGCAAUUGCAUCACUACCAGAUGGACCUGCGUUGUAUUAGCUAGUUGGUGGGGUAACGGCUUACCAAGGCGACGAUACAUAGCCGACCUGAGAGGGUGAUCGGCCACACUGGGACUGAGACACGGCCCAGACUCCUACGGGAGGCAGCAGUAGGGAAUCUUCGGCAAUGGACGGAAGUCUGACCGAGCAACGCCGCGUGAGUGAAGAAGGUUUUCGGAUCGUAAAGCUCUGUUGUAAGAGAAGAACGAGUGUGAGAGUGGAAAGUUCACACUGUGACGGUAGCUUACCAGAAAGAGACGGCUAACUACGUG